GUGUUAUGAUGAAUAAGAAUAUCACUUGGUCUGUGUUUCUGAAUGUCUCAUGAUUUAAACAUUAUAUUCUGAACUC